rnacentral:tRNA from 1 species
UCGCCAGGUAGACGGCGGCCGCGCCCGCGACGUGCGGGGUCGCCAUCGAGGUGCCGGAGAUGGUGUUGGUCGCGGUGUCGCUGGUGUACCA